UACGUAGGGUGUGAGCGUUAAUCGGAAUUACUGGGCGUAAAGCGUGCGCAGGCGGUUUUGUAAGCCAGAUGUGAAAUCCCCGGGCUUAACCUGGGAAUGGCAUUUGGGACUGCAAGGCUGGAGUGUGGCAGAGGAGACUGGAAUUCCUGGUGUAGCAGUGAAAUGCGUAGAUAUCAGGAGGAAUACCGAUGGCGAAGGCAGGUCUCUGGGCUGACACUGACGCUCAUGCACGAAAGCGUGGGGAUCAAACAGG
rnacentral:rRNA from 1 species